GCAAUAGUCUUUGCAGAGCAGGGGAAGUACAAGGUCUCUUUCCAAGGCUUCUCUUUCAGUAAGACCAAUUCGGGAGUUACUGAUUCACUGAGAGCCGUCCACUAAGAACAAAACAACUGCAGGAUGCUGAAGCCACCUUUUUUGCUGGCUGAGAAACUAGAAUGUAAUUACCUUUAGUUUUAUGGAGAAUAUACAUGCUUCCAUUUUUUUAUAGCGGAUACAAAAUGA